rnacentral:rRNA from 1 species
UAGGGAAUCUUCCGCAAUGGACGCAAGUCUGACGGAGCAACGCCGCGUGAGUGAAGAAGGAUUUCGGUUCGUAAAACUCUGUUGUUAGAGAAGAACAGCGCAUAGAGUAACUGUUAUGCGUGUGACGGUAUCUAACCAGAAAGCCACGGCUAACUACGUGCCAGCAGCCGCGGUAAUACGUAGGUGGCAAGCGUUGUCCGGAUUUAUUGGGCGUAAAGCGAGCGCAGGCGGUCAAUUAAGUCUGAUGUGAAAGCCCCCGGCUCAAACAGGGAGGGUCAUUGGAAACUGGUUGGCUUGGGUGCAGAAGAGGAGGGUGGAAUUCCAUGUGUAGCAGUGAAAUGCGUAGGUAUAUGGAGGAACACCAGUGGCGAAGGCGACUCUCUGGUCUGUAACUGACGCUGAAGCUCGAAAGCGUGGGUAGCAAACAGG